UACAGAGGGUGCAAGCGUUGUUCGGAAUUAUUGGGCGUAAAGCGCGUGUAGGCGGCUUUGCAAGUCGGGUGUGAAAGCCCUCGGCUCAACCGAGGAAGUGCGCCCGAAACUGCAGAGCUUGAGUACCGGAGAGGAUGGCGGAAUUCCCCAAGUAGAGGUGAAAUUCGUAGAUAUCGUAAGGAAGGCCGGUGGCGAAAGCGAACCUCUGGGCAGCAGCUGACGCUGUGGCACGAAGGCUAGGGGAGCAAACGGG
rnacentral:rRNA from 1 species